AAGACCUUGCGCUUUUGGAGCGGCCGAUGCCUGAUUAGCUAGUUGGUGGGGUAAUGGCCUACCAAAGCUUCGAUCAGUAGCUGGUCUGAGAGGACGGCCAGCCACACUGGGAUUGAGACACGGCCCAGACUCCUACGGGAGGCAGCAGUGGGGAAUUUUGGACAAUGGGCGCAAGCCUGAUCCAGCCAUGCCGCGUGAGUGAAGAAGGCCUUCGGGUUGUAAAGCUCUUUCAGCCGGGAAGAAAAGGUUGCGAUUAAUAAUCGCAAUUUAUGACGGUACCGGAAGAAGAAGCACCGGCUAACUACGUGCCAGCAGCCGCGGUAAUACGUAGGGUGCGAGCGUUAAUCGGAAUUACUGGGCGUAAAGGGUGCGCAGGCGGUUUUGUAAGUCAGAUGUGAAAUCCCCGGGCUUAACCUGGGAACU
rnacentral:rRNA from 1 species